CUCUGCUUUGAUCGUAUCUUUAGUACAUAGUAUUAUUACCCUAUCUAAAGUACUUAAAUUACAGCUAGUAGAUUUUUGCUUAUUCUUUGAGGAAAGAAAAACUUCCUGCUUGUACUGUGCCUAUAACUAUUGUUGACUGCCUUUAUAAUUACAUGUUUACAUCUAGUACAAUUGGUAAAUUGAAUUGCAUUCUUUGUAUUUAACUUGUACUGACCUACCAAGACCCAUGCUGGAGAAAGAUCAUUGAUACAGAAACAUUGUCACGUCCAGUAGCGAUGGGCAAAUAACAAUUGGGAAUUUCAGGUCGAAUGGAAUGUUACAGACACUAGUGUGCAUUACUUUUCAG